rnacentral:misc_RNA from 1 species
UCUCCGUUGGUGAACCGGCGGAGGGAUCAUUACAGAGUUGCAAAACUCCCAAACCAUUGUGAACGUUACCUAUCCCGUUGCUUCGGCGGGCGGCCCGGGCCCCGCGCCCGGCGCCCCCCGGCCCCCCGUGGGCGCCCGCCGGAGGUAAACCAAACCCUUGAAUUGCAUGGACUCUCUGAGUCUUCCGUACUGAAUAAGUCAAAACUUUCAACAACGGAUCCCUUGGUUCUG